rnacentral:rRNA from 1 species
UCUUCACCGCAUGCAAUGCAUGUGUAAUGGUGGCGCCCGUGGUCAUUACUGUGACAAAAGAGGGUGAUCAAAGCAGUCAUCAUCGACAUGGAUUAGAAAGCAUGGGAUAACAAAGGAGCGGCCUCGUACUGCCGAUUCGGCUUUUGUUGGUUUUAAAGGUCUGUGGGAGAUUGUGGACCCCCAGACCGGCUGAACGUAAACAUUUGCGUUACAGCCUUCCGUCUCGUCCUUGCGGCGGGUGCGGCUUGGUGGGUCCAGGAAUGAAGGAGGGUUGUUCGGGGGAGAACGUACUUGAGCGUGGAGGUGAAAUUCUUAGACCGCUCAAAGACGAACUACAGCGAAGGCAUUCUCCAAGGUACCUUCCUCAAUCAAGAACCAAAGUGUGGAGAUCGAAGAUGAUUAGAUACCAUUGUGUCC